rnacentral:rRNA from 1 species
GGCCAGACUCCUACGGGAGGCAGCAGUGGGGAAUAUUGCACAAUGGGGGGAACCCUGAUGCAGCGACGCCGCGUGGGUGAAGAAGCGCCUCGGCGCGUAAAGCCCUGUCAGCAGGGAAGAAAAUGACGGUACCUGAAGAAGAAGCCCCGGCUAACUACGUGCCAGCAGCCGCGGUAAUACGUAGGGGGCAAGCGUUAUCCGGAUUUACUGGGUGUAAAGGGGGCGCAGACGGCGAUGCAAGCCAGGAGUGAAAGCCCGGGGCCCAACCCCGGGACUGCUCUUGGAACUGCGUGGCUGGAGUGCAGGAGGGGCAGGCGGAAUUCCUGGUGUAGCGGUGAAAUGCGUAGAUAUCAGGAGGAACACCGGUGGCGAAGGCGGCCUGCUGGACUGCAACUGACGUUGAGGCCCGAAAGCGUGGGGAGCAAACAGGAUUAGAUCCCCCCGUA